AUUGAACGCUAGCGGGAUGCCUUACACAUGCAAGUCGAACGGAGUGGCGAACGGGUGAGUAAUGUAUCGGAACGUGCCCCGUAGCGGGGGAGAACUACGCGAAAGCGUAGCUAAUACCGCAUACUAUUGGAGCGGCCGAUAUCGGAGUAGCUAGUUGGUGGGGUAACGGCUCACCAAGCCUUCGAGGGCUAGGGGUUCUGAGAGGCAGGUCCCCCACGCUGGGACUGUGACACGGCCCAGUCUCCUACGUGAGGCAGCAGGGGGGAAUUUGUACCAUGGGGGCACCCCUGAUCCAGCCAUCCCGCGUGUGCGAUGAAGUCCUUCGGGUUGUAAAGCACUUUUGGCAGGAAGGCGGUACCUGCAGAAUAAGCACCGGCUAACUACGGGCCAGCAGCCGCGGUAAUAC
rnacentral:rRNA from 1 species